UUGAUUUUGGUCGCCAACGAGUGGCGGACGGGUGAGUAACACGUAGGUAACCUGCCCAGAAGCGGGGGACAACAUUUGGAAACAGAUGCUAAUACCGCAUAACAACGUUGUUCGCAUGAACAACGCUUAAAAGAUGGCUUCUCGCUAUCACUUCUGGAUGGACCUGCGGUGCAUUAGCUUGUUGGUGGGGUAAUGGCCUACCAAGGCGAUGAUGCAUAGCCGAGUUGAGAGACUGAUCGGCCACAAUGGGACUGAGACACGGCCCAUACUCCUACGGGAGGCAGCAGUAGGGAAUCUUCCACAAUGGGCGCAAGCCUGAUGGAGCAACACCGCGUGAGUGAAGAAGGGUUUCGGCUCGUAAAGCUCUGUUGUUAAAGAAGAACACGUAUGAGAGUAACUGUUCAUACGUUGACGGUAUUUAACCAGAAAGUCACGGCUAACUACGUGCCAGCAGCCGCGGUAAUACGUAGGUGGCAAGCGUUAUCCGGAUUUAUUGGGCGUAAAGAGAGUGCAGGCGGUUUUCUAAGUCUGAUGUGAAAGCCUUCGGCUUAACCGGAGAAGUGCAUCGGAAACUGGAUAACUUGAGUGCAGAAGAGGGUAGUGGAACUCCAUGUGUAGCGGUGGAAUGCGUAGAUAUAUGGAAGAACACCAGUGGCGAAGGCGGCUACCUGGUCUGCAACUGACGCUGAGACUCGAAAGCAUGGGUAGCGAACAGGAUUAGAUACCCUGGUAGUCCAUGCCGUAAACGAUGAGUGCUAGGUGUUGGAGGGUUUCCGCCCUUCAGUGCCGGAGCUAACGCAUUAAGCACUCCGCCUGGGGAGUACGACCGCAAGGUUGAAACUCAAAGGAAUUGACGGGGGCCCGCACAAGCGGUGGAGCAUGUGGUUUAAUUCGAAGCUACGCGAAGAACCUUACCAGGUCUUGACAUCUUGCGCCAACCCUAGAGAUAGGGCGUUUCCUUCGGGAACGCAAUGACAGGUGGUGCAUGGUCGUCGUCAGCUCGUGUCGUGAGAUGUUGGGUUAAGUCCCGCAACGAGCGCAACCCUUG
rnacentral:rRNA from 2 species